ACAAACUGCUUUCUCCACUUCCUCCUUGGCUGAAUCUUCAGAGGGCUCAACCUCACAAGCUGUCAAGUUCUUAUCUCUCUGCCUGCUUACGGUUGUCUUUCUCUCAGAAACAGAGCAGCCUGUGGAGUAGGCUCAGCUCUACUUCAUUAUACAUCGUUUGUUCUAAAGCUUACCAGACGCUUCCCCUCCGGUGCACGGAAGACGAGAGUACCACAGAGAUUUAUCUCCUCAGAACUUUGGAAACGGCCAUCACUGCUGAAUCCUGAUAGAUGUCUCCGUCCCUGGCCACCACUGCCCUUGAGGACAUCUUUCCUUCUGACAGUGUCUGCAAUUAGAGCUGAUCUCAGCACUGUCUUUUGCUCCGUAGCAGUUGUGUGUGUUCACCGUCAACUCAUUUCUUAUCUCUUUGUUUCUUUGGGACUUUAUGCCUUCUGUUGUCAUUAUAAAGUCUGAAUAACCUUGACUGCUUAA
rnacentral:sRNA from 1 species